CAGUAGUCACGAGUUUGAUCAUGGCUCAGAACGAACGCUGGCGGCAUGCCUAACACAUGCAAGUCGAACGAGACCUUCGGGUCUAGUGGCGCACGGGUGCGUAACACGUGGGAAUUUGCCUCGGGGUAUGGAAUAACUCAGGGAAACUUGAGCUAAUACCAUAUAAUGUCUUCGGACCAAAGAUUUAUCGCCCUGAGAUAAGCCCGCGUAGGAUUAGCUAGUUGGUGAGGUAAAGGCUCACCAAGGCGACGAUCCUUAGCUGGUCUGAGAGGAUGAUCAGCCACACUGGGACUGAGACACGGCCCAGACUCCUACGGGAGGCAGCAGUGGGGAAUAUUGGACAAUGGGCGAAAGCCUGAUCCAGCAAUGCCGCGUGAGUGAUGAAGGCCUUCGGGUUGUAAAGCUCUUUACUCGGGACGAUAAUGACGGUACCGAGAGAAUAAGCCCCGGCUAACUCCGUG
rnacentral:rRNA from 1 species